GUAACAUUAGCUAGUUGUAAGGUAACGGCUUACCAAGGCAAUGAUGUUUAGGGNNUCUGAGAGAUAGUCCCCCACACUGGUACUGAGACACGGACCAGACUCCUACGGGAGGCAGCAGUGAGGAAUAUUGGUCAAUGGGCGCCGCCUGAACCAGCCAUGUCGCGUGACGGAUGACGGCCCUAUGGGUUGUAAACUGCUUUUUUACGGNNAUAAUGUCAUCUA
rnacentral:rRNA from 1 species